UAUGACAGACAAGCAUAUGACUACUGGCAGGAUCAACCAGGUAGCACGUCCUCAUCGACGAGCCGACAUGGAGACUGGCACACGCCAGCCAGCUAGUGGCAUGAAGUGGCAAUCACCGAGCCGACUGUCGUACAUUGAGAGAGCUUUCGUUAGGGACGCGACCGCAACGGGUCACGAGCCUUUAUCAUUUGCAACAUCCGAAACCAAUAGUGCGAGCGAGGUGGCCUUGGAAGCACCGGGCACGUAGGGCACCAGCACCACGAGGCAACGCCGCACGAACUAUUAGGCCGCAGCGGAACUCCCUUGGGGGUCCACAGCGAGGCAACCGUGUAUGAAGCACAACUUCCCGUAGUUUGGGUACCAGCAUGCAAGCACUCGUCGAUGGAGCGGAAUGGUUAGAACCGCAAGAAUGAUAGGAUAUCGGCGCCAGUAGUCGGCCGCACAUCGGCGGGGGUCCUGCUGGCAGACACGAGUCCAAGACAACUCAUGCGCUCGCGUAGCCAACUGGCCG
rnacentral:misc_RNA from 1 species